UCCAAGAAGCAUCGUGAUAUUUUCUGUUAGC
rnacentral:piRNA from 1 species